UCUAUGACGGGGGUGGUGGUGGGUCUCUUCACACUCUCCUAAUAAUUUAUACUUGCAGCUAGUUUUCCUUACUUUGCACAGGAAGAGUACAAUGUACGACAGCGUAAGUAUGACACUUAUACUUUUGGUAUAGAAGUAGUUGGAUUAAUUGGAAAUUAUCAUGAAUUUCAUAUAUGAAUUUAUUUUAAUUAUUUUCAGUGACCAGUAUCAAUGGUGAAAAUCCUAUUCUACGAAGGGAGGAAAUGAAGCAGGUCUUCACAAUGCAAGCAUAAAGAUAAGUAAAUCACAUACAUUUACAUGUUUAGUGCAUCCAGAUUGAUUAGAACUCAUUGUAACUUUUUAUCGUAGGUUCAAUGACAAUUUAGUAUAAUGGAUAGGAGUCACCAUUGCAAGAAAUAUCGGUGAGAAAUAGGAAAGUAAUAGUGGAUUCGCGAGGAAGUAUCAAACCAGGGUGUACAUCAUGAUAGUUCAAGAGAUCCGGUAUCGUCUGAACCUAAUUUUAUACAUAAUGCUUAUUCAAUAAUUGCUUUCUGCAUAGGAUGUUUAAUUAUCUUCGAAGUGUAUAGCGUUCAUGUUCUGCUGUAGUAUUUUGUUAAUAAAAAAAUGUUUGUACUUUA